rnacentral:rRNA from 1 species
UCUGGUUGAUCCUGCCAGACCCGAUUGCUAUCCGGGUGGGACUAAGCCAUGCAAGUCGUACGGUGCACCUUGCACCGUGGCGGACUGCUCAGUAACAAGUGAUCAACUUACCCUACGGUGGAGCAUACCCUCGGGAAACUGAGGCUAAUACUCCGUAGUUGACAAGGCCUGGAAGGGUUUGUCAUCAAUAGUGUAGUUCAAAUGGGAAUUACAUGCCGUAGGAUAGGAUCGCUCCCGAUUAUGGUUGUUGGCGAGGUAAUGGCUCACCAAGCCUAUGAUCGGUACGGGCCGUGAGAGCGGGAGCCCGGAGAUGGGUACUGAGACAAGGACCCAGGCCUUACGAGGCGCAGCAGGCGCGAAACCUUUACAAUGCACGAAAGUGUGAUAAGGUUACCCGGAGUGCUAAGAGAAAACUUUUAGCUGUUGUGGGGAGUAGGUAUCCCCACCAGAAAGGAGAGGGCAAGGCUGGUGCCAGCCGCCGCGGUAAAACCAGCUCUUCAAGUGAUCGGGACUUUUAUUGGGCCUAAAGCGUCCGUAGCCGGGUUGGUAAGUUCCUGGUAAAAUCUGGCCGCUUAACGGUCAGCAGGCUAGGAAUACUGCCUUCCUUGAGGGUGGGAAAGGUCUGAGGUACUCUGGGGGUAGCGGUGAAAUGUGAUAAUCCUCAGGGGACCACCAGUGGCGAAGGCGUCAGACUGGAACACGCCUGACGGUGAGGGACGAAAGCUAGGGGAGCGAACGGGAUCAGAUACCCCGGUAGUCCUAGCUGUAAACGAUGUGCGUUAGGUGUCGGUGGGGCUAGGAGCCGCACCGGUGCCGUAGAGAAAUCGUUAAACGCACCGCCUGGGAAGUACGCUCGCAAGAGUGAAACUUAAAGGAAUUGGCGGGGGAGCACCACAAGGGGUGAAGCCUGCGGUUCAAUUGGACACAACGCCGGGAAGCUUACCAGGGGCGACAGCAGUAUGAAGGUCAGGCUGACGACCUUACCAGACAAGCUGAGCGGAGGUGCAUGGCCGUCGCCAGUUCGUGCCGUGAGGUAUCCUGUUAAGUCAGGCAACGAACGAGACCCACACACUUAGUUACCAGCAACCGUCUUCGGAUGGGUUGGGAACGCUAGGUGAACCGCCGCCGUACAGACGGAGGAAGGGGUGGGCCACGGCAGGUCAGUAUGCCCCCAAUCCCCUGGGCCACACGCGGGCUGCAAUGGUGGGGACAAUGGGUUGCAACACCGAAAGGUGAAGCCAAUCUCGAAACCCCAUCUCAGUUGGGAUUGUCGGCUGCAACUCGCCGACAUGAACGUGAAAUCCCCAGUAAUCGUGUGUCAACAUCGCACGGUGAAUACGUCUCUGCUCCUUGCACACACCGCCCGUCGCUCCAUCCGAGUGUAGCGCAAUUGAAAACUAAUCCAUCGGGUAAGCUUGAGAUUGUGUUACGCGAGGAGGGAGAAGUCGUAACAAGGUA